rnacentral:rRNA from 1 species
AGGACGAACGCUGGCGGCGUGCUUAACACAUGCAAGUCGAGCGGAAAGGCCCUUCGGGGUACUCGAGCGGCGAACGGGUGAGUAACACGUGAGCAACCUGCCCUUAGCUUCGGGAUAGCUCCGGGAAACCGGAAUUAAAUACCGAAUAUGACUUUGGCUGACAUCAGCAGAAGUGGAAAGUUUUUCGGCCAGGGAGGGGCUCGCGGCCUAUCAGCUUGUUGGCGGGGUAACGGCCCACCAAGGCGACGACGGGUA